GCAUGUUAUCCCCAGCCCCAACCUCUUCAUCUUGGUUGGUCUAACAAAUUUUAGUGACAACAAAGGAUUCACACAUGAGGACACAGUUUGGUGCAUCAAUUCUUCAAAACUCGACAUUUCCUACCUAUUGAUUGUCAAAUGGUGUGUCUAGGUUUCAUGUGUCAACUUAUCUUGCAAAUCAGACCACAGCACCUAUUUUUCUUUUUCCUAUGUAUAAUUUGUUUAACUCGGCGGCGAUCUAAACCAGUGGAAAACUUCAUCCAAGGUGUAUUUUCUUUCAAGAAAACUUAGAAUUUGGAAACAGAACAUGCUUUGUUUCUUUCUGAAUCGAGGUGUAAGCAGAGAAUCAAAGAGAGAAAUUAACAGCACAAGACAAACGAUCAAGGUGACUAAUCCGAAUGAUUAGUGAUGACAGAGUUUACAACUAUAACGAGCUAAUUCUAACCGAGGCGGGUAAUAUAAAAGAUGAAGUGAUCCGAUCAUAUAACAAUAAUACUCUGCUUAUGUAAAUCAAAUCUUUCAUUAAGAUGAGCUUUCAAAAUCUUUAACAUGGAAAGAAAA